rnacentral:rRNA from 1 species
UACGAAGGGGGCUAGCGUUGUUCGGAAUCACUGGGCGUAAAGGGCGCGUAGGCGGCCGUUUAAGUCGAGGGUGAAAUCCCAGGGCUCAACCCUGGAAUUGCCUUUGAUACUGUUUGGCUUGAGUCUGGUAGAGGUUGGUGGAACUGCGAGUGUAGAGGUGAAAUUCGUAGAUAUUCGCAAGAACACCGGUGGCGAAGGCGGCCAACUGGACCAGCACUGACGCUGAGGCGCGAAAGCGUGGGGAGCAAACAGG